UACGGGGGGGGGCAAGCGUUGUUCGGAAUUACUGGGCGUAAAGGGCUCGUAGGCGGCCAACUAAGUCGGAUGUGAAAUCCCCAGGCUUAACCUGGGAACUGCAUCCGAUACUGGAUGGCUUGAAUCCGGGAGAGGGAUGCAGAAUUCCAGGUGUAGCGGUGAAAUGCGUAGAUAUCUGGAGGAACACCGGUGGCGAAGGCGGCAUCCUGGACCGACACUGACGCUGAGGAGCGAAAGCCAGGGGAGCAAACGGG
rnacentral:rRNA from 1 species